rnacentral:rRNA from 1 species
GACGAACGCUGGCGGCGUGCUUAACACAUGCAAGUCGAACGGAUAGGCCCUGCUUUUGUGGGGUGCUCGAGUGGCGAACGGGUGAGUAACACGUGAGUAACCUGCCCUUGACUUUGGGAUAACUUCAGGAAACUGGGGCUAAUACCGGAUAGGAGCUCCUGCUGCAUGGUGGGGGUUGGAAAGUUUCGGCGGUUGGGGAUGGACUCGCGGCUUAUCAGCUUGUUGGUGGGGUAGUGGCUUACCAAGGCUUUGACGGGUAGCCGGCCUGGGAGGGUGACCGGCCACAUUGGGACUGAGAGACGGCCCAGACUCCUACGGGAGGCAGCAGUGGGGAAUAUUGCACAAUGGGCGGAAGCCUGAUGCAGCAACGCCGCGUGCGGGAUGACGGCCUUCGGGUUGUAAACCGCUGUCGCCUGUGACGAAGCGUGAGUGACGGUAAUGGGUAAAGAAGCACCGGCUAACUACGUG